CCUAUUUUUCCACUUGAACAUUGUAG
rnacentral:piRNA from 1 species